GAGAAUUUGACAUACUAAUAAUUCAGAUGGUUCAGGGCCACAGAGAAUGAGAUUUGGCCAGGGAUUAAGCACCAGCUGAUAAAAUCAAGGUCCACAGAGAACAAUUUGGAAGCCCUUGAUUUAGAAAAGCUUGUGUUUUAUUCCCUUUUCAGAUUUCUUGAGGAUCUCUUCAACGUGGGAAAAUACAGAAAAAUCUUCACUAUGACACUGAUGGAACCACAGAGUCCAUGAUAUUGCACCAGAUGCAACCUAGUGCAAAGUCUGGGGGAUGGAGAGAGUGUGGUGAAUGGAGCUUAUUCCCUCAACAUUAAUGAAUCCAUAGUUUUAGACUGUCUCCAAAAUAGGAGCAUAUAUUCACAUCCAUCAAGACCACCUAAUCCCAUCUGAGCUGCCAGAAUGACAAACGCUGCAUGAAUGACCCCAGACUAGACCAACAGAAGACCAUUCACUUCAACCUACCUCAAAUUGCUUAUCCACGGAAUUAUGAGUAAACAAAAUGGUUGUUUUAAAUCACUGGGUUUGUGGUGGUUUGUUAUACAAAAAAUAGAUUAGUAAUAUAAUUUGUUAAACAGUAAUUAAUGAGUGUUUAAUAUGGG
rnacentral:lncRNA from 1 species